GCCGUGAUCCUAUAGUGGUUAGUACUCUGCGUUGUGGCCGCAGCGGUUCGAAUCCGGGUCACAGCA
rnacentral:tRNA from 1 species